AGCGAACGCUGGCGGCAGGCCUAACACAUGCAAGUCGAACGGAUCCUUCGGGAUUAGUGGCGGACGGGUGAGUAACACGUGGGAACGUGCCCUUUGGUUCGGAACAACUCAGGGAAACUUGCGCUAAUUCCGGCUGUGCCCUUCGGGGGAAAGAUUUAUCGCCAUUGGAGCGGCCCGCGUCUGAUUAGCUAGUUGGUGAGGUAACGGCCCACCAAGGCGACGAUCAGUAGCUGGUCUGAGAGGAUGAUCAGCCACACUGGGACUGAGACACGGCCCAGACUCCUACGGGAGGCAGCAGUGGGGAAUCUUGCGCAAUGGGCGAAAGCCUGACGCAGCCAUGCCGCGUGAAUGAUGAAGGUCUUAGGAUUGUAAAAUUCUUUCAGCGGGGACGAUAAUGACGGUACCCGCAGAAGAAGCUCCGGCUAACUUCGUG
rnacentral:rRNA from 1 species